AAAACCUAUUGAAGUAUUUUUUUUAAAAAAAAGAAACAAUAUAGAGAAGAUUAGUAUGGCUCCUGUGCAAGGAUGACAUGCAAAUUUGUGAAAUGUUCCAUUAAAAU
ensembl:snRNA U6 U6 spliceosomal RNA